GACGAACGCUGGCGGCAUGCCUAAUACAUGCAAGUCGAGCGAACAGAUGAAGUGCUUGCACUUCUGACGUUAGCGGCGAACGGGUGAGUAACACGUAAGGAAUCUACCUAUAAGCGGGGGAUAACAUUCGGAAACGGGUGCUAAUACCGCAUAAUAUCUUCUUCCGCAUGGAAGAAGAUUGAAAGACGGCUCUGCUGUCACUUAUAGAUGACCUUGCGGUGCAUUAGUUAGUUGGUGGGGUAACGGCCUACCAAGACGAUGAUGCAUAGCCGACCUGAGAGGGUGAUCGGCCACAUUGGGACUGAGACACGGCCCAAACUCCUACGGGAGGCAGCAGUAGGGAAUCUUCCGCAAUGGGCGAAAGCCUGACGGAGCAAUGCCGCGUGAGUGAAGAAGGCCUUCGGGUCGUAAAACUCUGUUAUAAGAGAAGACAAUUAGUAGAGUAACUGCUAC
rnacentral:rRNA from 1 species